rnacentral:lncRNA from 1 species
GUUUUCUAUUUUCUGUUAUUUUAAACGUUUUAGUGGUUUUCUAAACCCAGCGGAAAUGAUGGUGGGGUCUGCCUGCAGACACUGUCACAUACCCCCUCCACACACACACACACACACACACACACACACACACACACACACACACUGAUGUCAUCCUGAAGGCAGCGGCAGAAUGAAUUGCCCUCAGCGUUGCGCGCACACACUUACCUGACGCGCGCGCCCGCUCUCCAGACGCGGACUCCUGCGCGGAGCAAGCGAGUCGUCUCCACGAGAGACUGGCAUGAGAUUCGGAGUGCAGAGACUGCAGAGAGCGUGAUCCGAUGUGUGUUUAUGAUGGACGUGACGCUGUUCUUGUCUCUCGUUUGUGUUUGCGCGGCUGCGGGUUCGAACACACUCAGCUCAUCUGGACCGCUGCUUCUGUCUGAUGCAUUGUGUCAGUAUGGAUGGACGAGAACCUUAAAGGGCUAGUGCAGACCCGUGUGUGAGUCGGGCUGUAAACACGGCGAGUGUGUUGGACUGGAUCAGUGCCGCUGUCAUCCAGGAUAUACCGGCAAGACCUGCAACCAAGGUAGCACACAAUAACACACAUGAACACACACUUUCCCUUAUAAAACUCACAGUACGUCUCUCACCUAAUAAUACAAACACAUGUGAAAGUGUGAGUGAUGACAUCAUGAGGAGUGUGUGUGUGUGUUUCGGUCAUUAAUACACAGGUGUCUAAACGUUUGAGCGGUCCGCUGGGGUUUGUGUUAGAGACUGAUGGGAGAUCUAUGUGUCUAAUGAUGCUUACUGGCCUUAUGGGAGACAUAUUAUGAUCUGAUUUA